rnacentral:piRNA from 1 species
CUUCUAGGUGAAAAGGGACAAAC